ACUGGUGCAAAGCGUUUGGAUCAUGAAUCCUCUGGACACCACUCGAAGUUGGAAACGAAUAUGGGAAAGCACACCUGAAAAAUUGACUCAAACAUCUUUUUCAGAUAACAUCUUGAAAGUGACAGAGGAAACACAAGGAAAUUAAACAAUCCAACUAUCACAUCAUAGUCCGAGAUAUAUAUAAUUUCUUGCUCUCAAAAUUUUUUUUCUCCAAUAUAGAACUCGCGUUUGCAUGAUUUUUCUUUUGGCUUGUUUCUUGGAAACAUUUCUGAACAAUCAAUUGCUUAAGGACAGGUGGUGGAAUUGCUGGGGAUUUUCUUGGAUAUCAGACAGUGGAAGGUUCCCUCCCCUUAAAAUAUUGGACCUGCCUCUCUUGCGCCCUUUUAAAAGUCCUUUAACUUUUCUGGGGCUGUCAUUACUGAGGAAGGUCUAUACGCUCCCUGAAUCAAACCGGCACUUCCAACCAACCUCCAUCUCAUGUGCUGACCGUUCCAGUGCUUGCCUGUUAAGCAUUCUUAGAUACUUGAGUUUUUUAAUUUUUUUCCCAAGUCUUUCUGGGGUACCUCCUUUGAACUCUUUGUGGAUUCAAGAAUCAAGAUUCUUUUCAAUUUUUCGUUACAUAAAGUAGGAAGAGUUAUUAGGUGAUCAGUUCUUGAUUCUUUGAGUUUGUUCUUCUUUCCGUAUUCUUGUUGUGUUUGUUAGAAACCAGUAAAGUUUUCGUGCUGAAAUUGAAUUCCUUUUCUGUUAUUUGACACUUUUUCCUAGAACCCAGUUCAGUGUUCUUGGUAAACUUGGAGCCUUUUCUGAUCAUUUUGGGUGUUUGGGAUGCUGAAGUUAAUGCGGUGAGCUUUACUCAAGUUUUAAGCUUGAAAGCUUUGGAGGCCCUUACUCAGCCAUGUCAGACUAUGAUGUCUUGUAUCUGCAUAGAAAUAUGGGCGAGAAUCCUGUAUGGGGUCUGUUUAAGAACAUAAGAAAUGUUUUCAAGAAGGACGAGUUAGGAGUGGAAAUUGCACAGAUUGCAAUACCUGCAGCAAUGGCCUUAGCUGCUGACCCAAUUGCUUCUUUAGUUGAUACAGCUUUCAUUGGUCAUAUAGGUCCAGUGGAACUUGCAGCUGUAGGUGUCGCCAUUGCUGUAUUUAACCAAGCAUCAAAAAUUGCAAUAUUCCCACUCGUUAGUGUGACAACUUCUUUUGUUGCUGAAGAAGAUGCUACUAAAAGUUUGAGCAUUGAUUCACAAGAAAUUGAAAUAGUGGAGAAUGGUUUUGCUGCAGAUGGCGAAAAGGAAGAGUUGCUACCGAAAGUGGAAUUGAGUAGCAAAUCAUUCAGCAGUAGCCAAGGGAAGGUGGUUGAUGGUAGGCGGAACAGCAGGCAUAACUCUUCCGCUUCAUCAGCAUUGCUCAUUGGUUGUAUACUUGGUAUCAUCCAAGCAAUUUUCCUCAUUUUUGCUGCAAAACCCUUGUUAAACUACAUGGGUGUAGAAUCUAAUUCACCUAUGCUGAACCCAGCCCAAAAGUACUUAAUAGUGAGGUCACUUGGCGCUCCAGCUGUCCUCCUUUCCUUGGCCAUGCAGGGUGUCUUUCGUGGAUUCAAGGAUACAAAAACCCCUCUUUAUGCAACCAUGAUUGGAGAUCUGACAAACAUAAUUCUGGACCCAAUAUUCAUUUUCCUGUUUGGUUUAGGUGUUACUGGUGCAGCCAUUGCCCAUGUUAUCUCCCAGUACUUUAUUUCCCUAAUACUUAUGUGGAGAUUAAUGAGUGAAGUAGAUCUUUUAGCCCCUAGUAUCAAAGAUCUGCAGUUGGGUCGGUUUCUUAAGAAUGGAUUUCUGCUAUUAUUGAGAGUCAUAGCAGCAACAUUCUGCGUAACCUUGGCAGCUUCAUUGGCUGCAAGGGUGGGAUCAACAUCGAUGGCUGCUUUCCAGGUCUGCUUGCAGGUUUGGCUGGCAACCUCAUUACUUGCUGAUGGAUUGGCCGUAUCGGGACAAGCCAUUCUUGCCAGUGCAUUUGCAAAAAAUGACUACGAGAGAGCCACAACUACUGCCUCUCGUGUCUUACAGUUGGGAUUGGUACUUGGGCUGGUUCUUUCACUCAUUGUCAUUGUUAUACUGAAAUAUGCAUCAACAAUUUUCACAGCAGAUAUAAAUGUUCUCCAUCUUUUAAGUUUGGGCAUCCCGUUUGUUGUAGUGACGCAGCCAAUUAACUCUGUGGCCUUUGUUUUUGAUGGAAUAAACUAUGGAGCAUCUGAUUUUUCUUAUUCUGCCUACUCCAUGGCAAGUUUCAACCCUUCAACUUUUCCUUUCUACUCGUGAUGCUUGCCUAGAGAGAGGUCUUGUGCAUUUCCUCAUAGUCCUGUCCAUCAUGUCUAUCAUAUGAUAUUUUGCCGAUUUCUGUGGCAGCAGUCAGUAUAAUACUCUUGCUAUUGCUGUCCUCGAGAUUUGGUUUUGUUGGUAUAUGGCUUGCAUUAUCUAUCUUCAUGAGUUUGCGGGCGUUAGCUGGAUUUUGGAGGAUAGGUACCAGAACAGGACCUUGGCGCUAUCUCCGGGGAUAAUUUCUGCUUAUUAUAGCUGGAUUUGCACCGCCUCAUUUUUCUUGGUUUUGGAAGAAUUCCUGCCAUCAUUUAGGAAUAUGUGGCUGAUAAUAUUAGAUGGCCAUAAUAUUAGUGGGUAUAAAUCACUACUUUUUCAUUCUUUGUUGUAUCAAUAGCAUCUUGAGAGCUGUAUGAGGCAAAUGAUAUCCAUAUGAUCAAUGUGUUUGUAAAACUGCCAAAAAACAAAAAAAAAAAAAAAAAAAAAAAAAAAGAAGGAAAAGAA